UACGUAGGGUGCAAGCGUUAAUCGGAAUUACUGGGCGUAAAGCGUGCGCAGGCGGUUUUGUAAGUCUGACGUGAAAGCCCCGGGCUCAACCUGGGAAUUGCGUUGGAGACUGCAAGGCUUGAAUCUGGCAGAGGGGGGUAGAAUUCCACGUGUAGCAGUGAAAUGCGUAGAGAUGUGGAGGAACACCGAUGGCGAAGGCAAUCCCCUGGACCUGUACUGACGCUCAUGCACGAAAGCGUGGGGAGCAAACAGG
rnacentral:rRNA from 1 species